GGCGGCAAACGAGGCGGUAAUAAGGCUGCGCUACUUCGACAAAGACAUAAUUUGUAGCCGUGCGCCAGCCGGCACCGAUCAAAUGCCUUGUUGCGAUCGCCCCAUCGAAGAUGACCCGGUGAAGUCCUUUCGUCUGUGGGUCGCACACGCCCUCAGCAGCGGCGCGCCUGACGCGUGUUCUCAAUUUCAACACCGGUGCUCCAGUAGACAAUACCUCGUCGGCAUAUCAUAAGAGGAGGGCACACACCAGCAAAUGAACCGGAGGAAAGCUUCCUGCUCGAAAUCUCUGGUGGCGUGCGCAGAGACUGCGUCAUCCAAGAAGAAAUGGAGCUCUCCCCUGUGAUGGUGGAAGACAGGCAGGGUGAUGUUCUGGCUGAGGUUCCCGUUCUUUGAAUACACAAUUGAAAAUCGA